rnacentral:rRNA from 1 species
GACGAACGCUGGCGGCGUGCUUAACACAUGCAAGUCGAACGGAAAGGCCCUGCUUUUGUGGGUUGCUCGAGUGGCGAACGGGUGAGUAACACGUGAGUAACCUGCCCUUGACUGUGGGAUAACUUCAGGAAACUGGGGCGAAUACCGGAUAGGAGCUCCUGCUGCAUGGUGGGGGUUGGAAAGUUUCGGCGGUUCGGGAUGGACUCGCGGCUUAUCAGCUUGUUGGGGGGGUAGUGGCUUACCAAGGCUUUGACGGGUAGCCGGCCUGAGAGGGUGACCGGCCACAUUGGGACUGAGAUGCGGCCCCGACUCCUACGGGAGGCAGCAGUGGGGAAUAUUGCACAAUGGGCGGAAGCCUGAUGCAGCAGCGCCGCGUGCGGGAUGACGGCCUUCGGGUUGUAAACCGCUUUCGCCUGUGACGAAGCGUGAGUGACGGUAAUGGGUACAGAAGCACCGGCUAACUACGUG